UAUGUAAGCUGUAGAACUAGCCAUGCAGACAAAUGAGAAACAAUCUUUUGUCUACAGAAGGCAGCAAUCCUGCAUAAACCUGGAAAUCUUUGUCCGACUUCAGACAGCUAAGUCUAGUCAUUCCCUUCAAUACAAC
ensembl:scaRNA Gm24718 small Cajal body-specific RNA 3